GUUGUCCGGAAUUACUGGGCGUAAAGAGCUCGUAGGUGGUUUGUCGCGUUGUUCGUGAAAACUCACAGCUCAACUUUGGGCGUGCGGGCGAUACGGGCAGACUGGAGUACUGCAGGGGAGACUGGAAUUCCUGGUGUAGCGGUGGAAUGCGCAGAUAUCAGGAGGAACACCGGUGGCGAAGGCGGGUCUCUGGGCAGUAACUGACGCUGAGGAGCGAAAGCGUGGGGAGCGAACAGG
rnacentral:rRNA from 1 species